AUACUUACCUGGCAGGGAAGAUACCAUGAUCAGGAAGGUGGUUUUCCCAGGGCGAGGCUUAUCCAUUGCACUCCAGAUGUGCUGACCCCUGUGAUUUCCCCAAAUAUGGGAAACUCAACUGCAUAAUUUGUGGUAGUGAGGUACUGCAUUUGUGCUUUCCCCUG
rnacentral:snRNA from 1 species